UACCUGCAGCUCGAGUGGUAACCGCUAUUAUUGGGCCUAAAGCGUCCGUAGCCGGUUUGGUAAAUAUCUGGGUAAAUCGUGAGGCUUAACUUCACGAAUUUCGGAUAGACUGCCAGACUUGGGAUCGGGGGAGGUCAGAGGUACUCCAGGGGUAGCGGUGAAAUGUUGUAAUCCUUGGAGGACCACCGGUAGCGAAGGCGUCUGACUAGAACGAGUCCGACAGUGAGGGACGAAGCCCUGGGGCGCAAACCGGAUUAGAUACCCGGGUAGUCCAGGGUGUAAACGAUGUGGGCUUUGUAUUGGAGGUCCCACGUGGGCGUCCAGUGCAGAAGAGAAGUUGUUAAGCCCACCGCCUGGGAAGUACGGUCGCAAGGCUGAAACUUAAAGGAAUUGGCGGGGGAGCACAGCAACGGGAGGAGCGUGCGGUUU
rnacentral:rRNA from 1 species